rnacentral:rRNA from 1 species
UACAGAGGUCCCAAGCGUUACUGAGAAUCACUGGGUUUAAAGGGUGCGUAGGUGGUCCGUUAAGUCAGUUGUGAAAUCCCCGGGCUCAACCCGGGAACUGCUUCUGAUACUGGCGGACUUGAGGCCAGUAGGGGUCACUAGAACUGACGGUGGAGCGGUGAAAUGCGUAGAUAUCGUCAGGAAUGCCGGUGGUGAAGACGGGUGACUGGGCUGGUCUGACACUGAGGCACGGAAAGCGAUGGGGAGCGAACGGG